rnacentral:lncRNA from 1 species
GUAAGACCAUCGCGUUCCCCAUUAUUGAUUUCUUUUCACUUGAUUAUAGCGACUCUCUUCAGCUGUUUAUUACAAUAGAGAGCAUAACUCAUAGACUGCAUUUGUCCUAAACUAAAAAGAAGUGCAAGGAAGCGGAAUGAGCAAGAAGAUGUGUGUGAGGGACUUCUGGGCUCCAGCUGCUCUGCUGUGUGCCCCAGUCAAGCCAAGCAGAUUCGGACCUCUGAGGGCUUGUACCCCAGUAGAUGUGUCUGCGAAUCCCCACACUUCAGGCAGCGACGUGGAGUCACAUGACGGCUGAGCAGGACUGACCAGAGCUUCAGUGCCCCCAAAUCUAAAAUUUGUUCAGUGGGUUUAUGUACUUGAUCCUCCAUCAAGGAAGGCAUUUCUGCAAAUCGAUGAAGUCACAGAAAAGCAGAGCACCCCGGUGGCCUUCAGACCUGCUC